rnacentral:rRNA from 1 species
UACGAGGGGAGCUAGCGUUGUUCGGAAUUACUGGGCGUGAAGGGCGUGUAGGCGGUACCAUAAGUCAGAUGUGAAAGCCCUGGGCUUAACCUAGGAUGUGCAUUUGAUACUGUGGAACUAGAGAUCGAGAGAGGAAAGUGGAAUUACGAGUGUAGAGGUGAAAUUCGUAGAUAUUCGUAAGAACACCAGUGGCGAAGGCGACUUUCUGGCUCGAUACUGACGCUAAGGCGCGAAAGCGUGGGGAGCAAACAGG